rnacentral:miRNA from 1 species
UACUCAGUAAGGCAUUGUUCUUC